rnacentral:rRNA from 1 species
AACGAACGCUGGCGGCAUGCCUAACACAUGCAAGUCGAACGAAGGCUUCGGCCUUAGUGGCGCACGGGUGCGUAACGCGUGGGAAUCUGCCCUUUGGUUCGGAAUAACAGCUGGAAACGGCUGCUAAUACCGGAUGAUGACGAAAGUCCAAAGAUUUAUCGCCAGAGGAUGAGCCCGCGUUGGAUUAGGUAGUUGGUGGGGUAAAGGCCUACCAAGCCGACGAUCCAUAGCUGGUCUGAGAGGAUGAUCAGCCACACUGGGACUGAGACACGGCCCAGACUCCUACAGGAGGCAGCAGUGGGGAAUAUUGGACAAUGGGCGCAAGCCUGAUCCAGCAAUGCCGCGUGAGUGAUGAAGGCCCUAGGGUUGUAAAGCUCUUUUACCCGGGAAGAUAAUGACUGUACCGGGAGAAUAAGCCCCGGCUAACUCCGUG